rnacentral:lncRNA from 1 species
UAUUUUCACAUAUGCUGUGUUUGCGAUAAAAUAACUUUGCUUAAAUCCCAUCUUGGCAUUAUAGAGAAUUUAAGCCACGGUUUUCUGAUCCCGUCCUCUUUUAUUACUCCGGUCCCACAGACAGGAACCAAAGUCAGCAGAACAAAGCAGCCCCAGAUGUGUUCUGUUCUAUUAUCUGAAGUGAAUGAAAAUCAGCCCUGAGGACUCCUAGCAGUAGAAUGAAGCCAACCUGCAAAAUUGACCUGUCAUGCCCUGCCUCACCACCUUAUCCAGUCCUGGACUCAACCCGCUGAACAAAUCCCUAAACCACCAAGUCUACCUUAGAAAAACAGUUCCAGAAUGCAUAAUUGGCAUAUACAUAAUGAACAGCUGGAAGGAGCUCCACAUUGGUUCCCUGACCUGUGGAAUGAAGACCUGGUGAGAAAGGCCAUUGGAACUUCCUCUACCUAGAAAAAUACUAAACCAAAAGUAAUACCGCAUACCUGGAGGGAGAGUAGAAAAAUCAGUGCCAAUAUAAAGAAGAAAGAUACAGUGGUUGGUGUUUCUCACCACAUACCCAUUCAACUCUCCUAUUUGACCUGUGCAGAAGACAGAUGGCUCUUGGAGAAUGAUG